rnacentral:misc_RNA from 1 species
ACAAAGCAGGUCCGAGAAGAGCAAUAAUGAAUGGUUUUGAGAUCUUCGGGCAUGGCUGGAGCUUUAAUGACCAUAGGAUGAGCAUCCAAAUAGACCCAACAAAAAGCUGGAAGGAAGCUAGAAACCAUGGGAAAGGAAACACAUUCAAUGCUUUCUUGUUGUAAAUGUUGAAGACAAUAUUCUGGAAGUACCAAAGACCAAAUACAAGUGCAAGCUGGAGAGUUUUAUCUUUAGGCUUCGAAACCGCACUAGCUUCUCCUUCUGCGCUUGAUUCCGAUUCAGAUUCUGCUGCUUUAGCAACAUAAGAUCUGGAUUUCGAGCAAAACCCAGAUGGAUUCUCAUGAACUCUGUUGAAAUCAGAGAUCUGGUAAGUGAAUCUUGAAAAGAGGCCAAGCGGGUAGCCAUGGAUUUCGCCAAAGUUUGAGACUUUAGUGGCAAAUGAACCAAUUUGAGAGGUGGGUUUAUUAAAGAGAGUAGUUUGAUUUUGAGCUCUGCCGGAAAUAUUUGGAUUCAGGGGGGAUGAAGCAUUUAUGGGGCACUUAUGGUGGAUGGAUUUGGAGAAAGUGACGGGAGAAGAUAGGGUGAGAUUCAAAGUUAGCAUUUUUAGUUCUAGCUUUUGAGCUAUGAUGUACGAGGGAGAGCCAGCCACAGAUUCUGCAAGCUAAAAAAAUUAAGGUAAAUAUAUGAAGGUUCA